rnacentral:rRNA from 1 species
GACGAACGCUGGCGGCGUGCUUAACACAUGCAAGUCGAACGGAAAGGCCCUGCUUUUGUGGGGUGCUCGAGUGGCGAACGGGUGAGUAACACGUGAGUAACCUGCCCUUGACUUUGGGAUAACUUCAGGAAACUGGGGCUAAUACCGGAUAGGAGCUCCUGCUGCAUGGUGGGGGGUGGAAAGUUUCGGCGGUUGGGGAUGGACUCGCGGCUUAUCAGCUUGUUGGUGGGGUAGUGGCUUACCAAGGCUUUGACGGGUAGCCGGCCUGAGAGGGUGACCGGCCACAUUGGGACUGCGAUACGGCCCAGACUCCUACGGGAGGCAGCGGUGGGGAGUAUUGCCCAAUGGGCGGAAGCCUGAUGCAGCAGCGCCGCGUGCGGGAUGACGGCCUUCGGGUUGUAAACCGCUUUCGCCUGUGACGAAGCGUGAGUGACGGUAAUGGGUAAAGAAGCACCGGCUAACUACGUG